AUUGAACGCUGGCGGCAGGCCUAACACAUGCAAGUCGAGCGGAUGAAGGGAGCUUGCUCCUGGAUUCAGCGGCGGACGGGUGAGUAAUGCCUAGGAAUCUGCCUGGUAGUGGGGGAUAACGUCCGGAAACGGGCGCUAAUACCGCAUACGUCCUGAGGGAGACAGUGGGGGAUCUUCGGACCUCACGCUAUCAGAUGAGCCUAGGUCGGAUUAGCUAGUUGGUGGGGUAAAGGCCUACCAAGGCGACGAUCCGUAACUGGUCUGAGAGGAUGAUCAGUCACACUGGAACUGAGACACGGUCCAGACUCCUACGGGAGGCAGCAGUGGGGAAUAUUGGACAAUGGGCGAAAGCCUGAUCCAGCCAUGCCGCGUGUGUGAAGAAGGUCUUCGGAUUGUAAAGCACUUUAAGUUGGGAGGAAGGGCGGUAAGUUAAUACCUUGCUGUUUUGACGUUACCAACAGAAUAAGCACCGGCUAACUUCGUG
rnacentral:rRNA from 1 species